rnacentral:rRNA from 1 species
UUGAAAGGGAAACGAUUGAAGUCAGUCGUACUGACGGGAAAUCAACUUCUCGAGUGCUUGUCGUGGAUGACGUUGAGCUUCACGGCCUUCGUUGUUUACGUUAUGGUGCUUUUGAGGUGUACUUUUCCGUAUGGUAGGUCAACAUCGAUUUUGAUCGUCAUAAAAUGAUCGGAGGAAUGUGGCUCUGGUCUUGUAUCGGAGUGUUAUAGCCUUUGGUAGAUGUGACGAUUGGGAUCGAGGAUUGCAACGAAUACCCUUUGGGCUAUCCGUCUGACCUCUGAAAGUCGCUCGGGUGUUGAAAGCGUGCUUAUGACAUUCUAGUUGGCGGUCAAAAGGUUAGAACGUGAUUACAUUCCUUAAGGAUGC